rnacentral:rRNA from 1 species
GAUGAACGCUGGCGGCGUGCCUAAUACAUGCAAGUCGAGCGAACAGACGAGGAGCUUGCUCCUCUGACGUUAGCGGCGGACGGGUGAGUAACACGUGGAUAACCUACCUAUAAGACUGGGAUAACUUCGGGAAACCGGAGCUAAUACCGGAUAAUAUAUUGAACCGCAUGGUUCAAUAGUGAAAGACGGUUUUGCUGUCACUUAUAGAUGGAUCCGAGCCGCAUUAGCUAGUUGGUAAGGUAACGGCUUACCAAGGCAACGAUGCGUAGCCGACCUGAGAGGGUGAUCGGCCACACUGGAACUGAGACACGGUCCAGACUCCUACGGGAGGCAGCAGUAGGGAAUCUUCCGCAAUGGGCGAAAGCCUGACGGAGCAACGCCGCGUGAGUGAUGAAGGUCUUCGGAUCGUAAAACUCUGUUAUUAGGGAAGAACAAAUGUGUAAGUAACUAUGCACGUCUUGACGGUACCGAAUCAGAAAGCCACGGCUAACUACGUG